UAGUCAAUUGAAUCCAGGUUGCCUUCCUCCCUAUCCUUUUUCCAUGAACGCAUCUCAGCACGCCCACCUCUGCUGCUAUUUCUCCUUUAACCUAAUACUAAAGCAUUGCCUUCCGGAAGGGCAGAGACGGGCACACUCGAUCCUUGGGAGCCACAGGACCGUCUAGUUCUCCUCUCUCCCCAGAAAGAGUUACGCAGCCCCGGCUACUCGCCAGCGCCCCCGCUCGGACCCAGCCUCACCAGCCCCGGGGCCCGGGGCCCGCCACGCUCACAGCGCCCUCAGGCAUCGCGCUCGGCGAUUUCAGCUCCGCGGCCGCAGCGGCGGCAGCAGCUAUGGCGGCACAAGCGGCUCAAAACGCGAAGUAGCGCCGAGGCCCAGCUCCCGCCGAGGCAGGCGGAGCGGAGGCGAGAGGGUGCGGUCUGCAGCCGAGGGCGUUCCUGGAGCGAACGAAUAAGGUGUGUGGGGCGGAGCCCGUGGGCGGGCCAGGAGGCCGGGACCUGUGACUCGAGAACCGCGAUCCCGCACGUCGUCGUGGCGGGUAUCCCUCCCGGAGAAAGGUCGGCACAGCUCGGCUUCGGACUGGAAAGAGCCAGGCCUUUUAUGGUGUGAGAAGGCCUGGUUCCCCGGGAAAGUGCACUCCCCAGGGCCCCAAGACGGCAACUACGCCCCAGCGGUGUCAAGGUUGGCAUCUGAUAGGCCCGAAGGACCGGAACCGAAACGAACUCCUCGCUCAGAAUUACAGAACUGCGACACAGCCAGAGGCUCUGCUCCGCGUCGACCCCAAGCGCUGGUACUCCGAGCGGUUACAAUAGUUGUUCGCCGCCACCCGGCGCGUUAACCUACGUGGAGAUGACUCUGGAGCAGCGGUCGCCAACCGGUGGUCCGCGGAACACCGGGGGUCCCUGAGGUCCGAAAGGUUGGCGACCGCUGCUAAAGUUUCCGAUUGCUAAGAAGUGUUACUAAUUGGGCAACCUAAUUGGCCAUGUUGGGAGAAAGGGGAGGAAGAGGAUUGCCUUGGAUAGAGCGUUAGGCAUGUGGAGGAGGAAAAAGGAAAGUGUAUGUUCCUAUGAGAGAUUUGUUUCAAGGUUUCUUUAACCUUCCAGGUCCCAUCGCGCUCUCACCCCGCGUUAACCAGGACUUUUGUUGCUCCAGUGCUUUUCCUUAUUCCUAUCAAAAUCCACUCGUAAACUUUUCCCCUAUUAUUGUACUACUUUUGUGAGGUCACUGUCAAGCUUGCUAACUAGUUGUAGUAGAGUUUUAGCUUUUGCUCAUGGGAGUUGAGGGCGUGCACAGAAAAUAACUUUACAGUAUUAUUCCA